AUUGAACGCUGGCGGCAUGCUUUACACAUGCAAGUCGAACGGUAACAGGUUAAGCUGACGAGUGGCGAACGGGUGAGUAAUGCAUCGGAACGUGCCCGAUCGUGGGGGAUAACACUUCGAAAGAAGUGCUAAUACCGCAUACGAUCUGAGGAUGAAAGCGGGGGACCGUAAGGCCUCGCGCGAUCGGAGGGGCCGAUGUCAGAUUAGGUAGUUGGUGGGGUAAAGGCUCACCAAGCCGACGAUCUGUAGCUGGUCUGAGAGGACGACCAGCCACACUGGGACUGAGACACGGCCCAGACUCCUACGGGAGGCAGCAGUGGGGAAUUUUGGACAAUGGGCGCAAGCCUGAUACAGCAAUGCCGCGUGCAGGAAGAAGGCCUUCGGGUUGUAAACUGCUUUUGUACGGAGCGAAAAGGCUCUCUCUAAUACAGGGGGCUCAUGACGGUACCGUAAGAAUAAGCACCGGCUAACUACGUGCCAGCCGCCGCAGUAAUAC
rnacentral:rRNA from 1 species